CUGCGUCGGCCGGGAGUCGAACCCGGGUCAACUGCUUGGAAGGCAGCUAUGCUAACCGUUAUACCACCCGAA
rnacentral:tRNA from 13 species